rnacentral:lncRNA from 1 species
AAAAAAUCUUAAAAUUUUGAGGUUAAAAGAAGCUUGAACCUCUGUUUUUCUCGCGUCCCCAGCUUGCUACAGUAGCGGUGUGAUUUUCUGCAUAGGGCGUGAUCUGCUACUUGCCUGCCCACGAGAUUUAUGCUGCACAUGCAUAUCAUGUGCUGACACGUCAUAAGAAAAAGAAACAAAUGGCUUUGAAAGAAAAGCUAGGCACGCAGACUUGGGAGAAAUACAACACACAUGAUUUGUCCUCUUUCAACUACUCCUAUAUAAAUAGCAUAGCAGCUUUUCGAAUUGGAAAAAGGAUAUCACGCACGCCGAGAGAGAAGAAACACAGCAUACUAGAGAUUGAAGAACAACGGCAUGCACAACAACUGAUCGGUGAUUCAAGUGGCUUUAUACACCAUUCAACCGUAAUUUUAUGUGUAAUUCUGAAUACUCUUUUUAUCUCUAAUCAAUAUUAUGAGUAGCUAAUUUCUCAAUUGUUAGGGAUGAGUAAACCUAGAUGACUAUUCUUAUUUUAUGAUUUGAUUUAUGACUN